rnacentral:rRNA from 1 species
CCUACGGGAUGCAGCAGUGGGGGAUAUUGCACAAUGGGGUGAACCCUGAUGCAGCGACGCCGCGUGUGGGAAGACGGUCCUCUGGAUUGUAAACCACUGUCCCCAGGGACGAAAAUGACGGUACCUGGGGAGGAAGCUCCGGCUAACUACGUGCCAGCAGCCGCGGUCAUACGUAGGGAGCGAGCGUUGUCCGGAAUUACUGGGUGUAAAGGGAGCGUAGGCGGGGAUGCAAGUUGGGUGUCAAAACUACCGGCUCAACUGGUAGUCGCACUCAAAACUGCAGCUCUUGAGUGAAGUAGAGGCAGGCGGAAUGCCUAGUGGAGCGGUGAAAUGCGUAGAUAUUAGGAGGAACACCAGUGGCGAAGGCGGCCUGCUGGGCUUUUACUGACGCUGAGGCUCGAAAGUGUGGGGAGCAAACAGGAUUAGAUACCCCGGUAGUC